CACUGCCUUAUCCCCCUGCCAGACCCUUCAUAUGCAGUAAGACCUCCUCACCCUCUCAGUCCAUCCCUUCACUCCUUUCUCUUUCUGCCAGACCCUUCCCAUGUUGUAAGACCCUUUCCUCUCCCUCAGUCUAUCCCCCCUCCUCAGCCUCCCUGCUCCCUCCUACCCUAUAUAAAACAGGGAAGAAAUGAGCUAUCAAUGAACUGAGAAUAAGGUGGGUUGGUAUUUUUGACACAAUUGUACUUCCACUUUGCCCUCAAGGCUGUUAAUAGCAUAGUAGUAGUACCAGUUUUUGUGUACUACUUUAUUUGCAUUUUAUAUAUGUAUAGCGAGGACCAUUUUGUUAUGUGAUUGUUAUUUAUACAUAUGUACGUCAGUUGAGGCUCUUGGUAACCUAGUUGGACAAGCCCCCCCCCAGAACCCAAUAGAAAAAAUGGAAUAAAACACAUAUUGAGUUUUCCAACGUUCAGAAUUUUGUCACAUUAUUCCUCGCCAAGAUUUUCCCAGAGUUGCGUCUCAGGGUUUUGAGCUUGCUUUUGGAAGUUAAUGUCUCCUACAAAAGAAUGAAAAAGUUAAUGUCUCCUAUAGAAAAAAUGGAGUAAAACACAUAUUGAGUUUUCCAACGUUCAGAAUUUUGUCACAUUAUUCCUCGUCAAGAUUUUCCCAGAGUUGCGUCUCAGGGUUUUGAGCUUGCUUUUGGAAGUUAAUGUCUCUGCAAUGGUGUGCUGAACAUGCUAGUUUAUGGCUGGAGGGGCACUUGACUGACUGACUGUUAUUUUUGUCUUAAAUGGUGAAGGUGUUAAUUUUCUUUUUAAGCCUGAGGUGAAGUAUUUGCAGCACAGGGAAGGUGAUAUGUCUGCCUUACACUACCAGCUUGAGACAGAUCCAGUGUCCCUGACUGAAGCAUCUCUUUUAUAUAUUCCAGUGGUUGAGGGAGGUCUUUUAUUUGAGACUCCAGCAGAGUUUUAUGCAUUAAUAGUGGAACAUAAUAUUUUGCUCUGAUGCUUCAAGUACUUACACUUGCAUGAAGACAAAAGCUGCAUCCAGAACAGACUAGUACUGUAGUGUUUACCAGGAGGCUGUAUAUAGCUCUUUAUAGUCAGAAGUAGCAUAUUUGAGAAUUUUUUAGGCAUAGUCAACAUAUUCAGUGUUGGUUUGAUAGCGGAGUGUUGUAACGGCGAAGUGCCUGCCCAGAGCGUGGCGAGGAAGGCAUGGCGGCCUCUCAUUGAAGGCUGUGCAUGGAGCCACGGCCACAUUGUGAGUCCAUAGGCCCACACACUACAUGGCUGAUUACUCAUCAUAAGAACUUAAGGAGUCUGUAAGAGUCUGGCAGGCUUAUACAAGGCAGCUCCCGUAAGCCAAACCCCACCUAACAUCACCAUCAUUGAAUUUAUCUAACCUUUUCCUGAAUGCGCUGACAGAGUAAGGCCCAUAGCCAUCAUAUUGGCACUCAUCAUGACUGCGCCAAGACUUUUCCACUUAUCUUGGAUCACCGUAAGCUGAUGAGCCUUCAAUCUUCCAAGCCAGUGGCAGCAGGAUGCAAGCCACUAGUUAUACAUUAUACUAAUGUAAUUUACUAUGUGUGCCCAUGCAAGGCCCAUGGAAAUGUUCCUCUGCCAGUAUGACCAGGACACCUCAGUAGGGCUGCAAGACACAUGAAUGAUAGAUGUGUCACCACCCAGAAUGCCUCCUGCCAGACCUCACUGGGCUUGGAAAAUGGGUCAGAAAUAAAUCCUAGGCACAGGUGACCUCCCUGAGUGUGUCUGGGCCUUUAGGGAAGUCGAGUGGAAUCACUCCAAGAUGCCUGCUUUGUCAAGUACUUUUGCAUUUACUAAGCAUUCCACAGAAGCCACACAUGCCUGGCCUGAGUGUGGGCAUGAGGUGGUGACCACUCCUAAUAUGUUUGGUGCUUUAUGGCUGAUGCUGAGCCACUAGUGUUGAAACAGAAGUGAGUCACCAUCCGUUGGUGGUGAGCUUUUUAUAUCAAUCCCUGUUAUCAUCUGGGCUGCUGUGAUCACAAACCUGUUACCCCCUUGUGCUCAUCAUCCACCUGUUUUUGGACACAGAGGCCCAUAGUUUCAAGCAUUUGGGGGCUUUCACACACAUCUGAUAAGGCUUUGGUAGAGGUUGUGUUAGCAUUUCCAUGGAUGGUUUUAUGAGCCUAGUGAUAGUUUGGCAAGGCUUCUGCACCAUGAAAGUGAGAAAUGCUCAUGAGAACCCAACUCAACUCCUCUUUGGUCUUGGAGAACUAGUUGUUGUGAGAGCCCAGAGUGUUUGAGAAUAUGGGUUUAAGAAGAUCUUCCUGCGAGGGAGUUAUAGACAGUACACUGCUCACACUAUUCUUGGUCCCUCUGGUGGUUCCUUUGAGACACCCUCCCAGCAUUGUCCUUCCCCCCACCUGCAUCUUUCCUUUUUCUCAUUGGCAAAGGUUGGGUCAGACACUUGCUAAGGGGAGUUAUGGUACACUGCUCACACCCUAUUCCUCGCCCCUCUUUUGUUUAUCAUCACACUCAAGGAGGCAAGCCAAGCAAGGGCAAAACUUAAUGAGUAAUAAAGCCUGCAACAUUCUCCUUUUAUUAAGCGAAUACCAAUCAACAUGCCAGAAGAAUUUGUUGUCUUGAUGCUCAGCUUCUGCAAGAGUUGAAGUAAAGGGAGGGAGGGAGUAUCUGCUGGCUUUCCUUCCUUCUUAUUUGUCAAGACCGGCUCAAACAUUUUUCACAUCUUUUCUCCAGUGUAUAAAUAUUACAUUAAUCUCUACUUUGAAUUCAUAGACAGAAGUAAGAUUGAAUACUGGAAGAGGUGCCAUAGACUCCCUUAAGAAUGAUGAACCUUUAGCUUGUCCUCCUUUGUCCAAGCAUCAAGAGGUUUUUGUGAAACAUUUUGAGGACAGGAAGGAAAAUUUGAGGCUACUGGCAAGGUGUUGGGAGGUAACCAGGUAGCUUAAAGUUUUUAUGGAGGAACAUGUUGAGAUUUAUGUGUGUGUGUGUGUGUGUGUGUGUGUGUGUGUGUGUGUGUGUGUGUGUGUGUAAAAAGAGAUUGUUAUUAAUAUAUUUUUUCCAAAUGUUUUUAGCUCCUAAUAAAAAGUAGACCUGUUAAACUUAUGCUCUGUUUGUUAUGUUGUGUUGACUGAUAUUUUAUUUCAUCAUGUAAAGAGUGUUAGUUGCUUGGUGAGAAAUGUGAUGAUGUGUUGUUUGUGAGGAAGCUGAUGCCUUAGACACCAAGACCUCUCUGCCCACUGCCAAGAGGGCCAGAUUAACCUCUUGGGGCCCAGGCCAGACGAGAUAGGACUGCCUCAUAAGCUAUCAGAGCAUGCUAUUUUUAAAAGAGUAUGCUGUGUGUUGACAAACAUACACACAAACAAAAUAAGCAUUAUAUAGAUGAUAAAAUUAACUUUGCAAUUCCUAGCUGGACCAGUCUUUUCAAUGAGGGCAUCAUUUAUCUAUUCAUUUUUUGGCCUUCAUGUGAGCUGUUGGGCCCCUUGUAAAGUGUUUGAGUGCCUAUAUAAGGGUUAAUCCUUCCCUGGGUGCAGAGGUGGGGGAAACACCAGCAGAGAAACUCACCUGUUGUCCUGUGGAGGGAGUGUUCCAGGGCAGCAGAACCAUGUGAUGACCUUAGCUACUUAAGUCUGUGGGUGGAGAACCAUUUCUGUUUAUUAUGAGAGGUUCUCUGUGCCCCUAACAAGAUAUCCUGGAGGGGCUGAGGCAGGCCAUGCAUGGAGUACCCACCAGCCUUAUUAUAUUGAACUGAUUGCAGACAUCUUGUACAGCAUAUACUUGAGUCAAAGUGUAUAUCAUGGUAAAGUCAAACGCAGGAAGCUAUGACGUAGUUGAUUAGAGAAUACAGUUGACCCCAAGAAGAAUUUGUAGGAUUCAAGUAACAGUCAGCCCAUUAAAACUUGAUCUUAGAAAAUCAGUUGAGAUAAUUAGACUUUUUCUCAAGUAUGUAUGUACAGUAUUUGUCAGGUGGCAAGUUUGCAGCUGCUAAACAUGACCAACGAAACAUUCAGAAGCUGGGAGUAUUCCAUCCCAGUGUUAUAAUUUCCAAUCAGAUGUAUAUUUGGUGUGAUGACUUUACAUUGAGGCGUUGUAACCUGCAGUGUAUCGUCCCUCAAACAGUAUGGUUUCCAAUAGUUCAGUUUUGAUUUUAUGUGGAUUUUCUAAGAAGGUUUUUUAGGAUUUUUAAAUUUUUUGACGAGCGGGAAAUUUAAAAAUCCUAAAAGAUCUUCUAUGACAGUCCGUAUAAAACUGAAACCGAACUAUUGGAAACCGUGCUAUUUGAGGGACGAUUGUAUUUACGUUUACCCGCUGCCAUUUCUUCUUCCUCUGGGGAUCAUCAUCAUCAUCAUCAUCAUCAUCCAUUAUUUAAGCCCACUGUGGGACAAACAAAGAUCUUUUCCAAUGUCUUCAACCUUUCCCUGUCUGAUGUUAAUAUACUUCAUCCUGCUCCUGCAAAGUUCUGAUUUAACCUCUCCACCUAGUUGUCGGUCAGCCCUGACGUACACCAUUCCUGGGUUGAUAGCACAUGAUCCUGUAAACUACAACUCGGUAAAUAAAGUGAUAAAUAAUGGGUAAUAGCAAUACCGGGUAGAAGUAGAUGCAGAGACAGAAUAUACAAGCCUAUAACCCUGAUUCUGUAAACUACAACUUGGUAAAUACAGUAAUAUGUAAAAGCAAGUUGGAUAAAAGUAGAUCUAGAGACAGAAGAACAAGUCUGACCCCAAUCCUGAAACUACAACUUGAUAAAUACAGUGUUAUCUAUGACAGGAUAACACAAGCCUGACCCUGAUCCUGUAAACUACAACUCAGUAAAUACAGUGUUACGGAACAUGCAGAAGCAGUUAUGGCUCAAGGAUGCAACAGAGAGCAUUUAUUAAUAGCCAACUGUAGUCCAAUCAGUGUGAGUGGGUGGGGUUGAGGAGGGAACAUACAUACAUACAUACACACAUAUACACAUACAUGCACACACAUACAUACAUACAUACUCCUGUCAGCUCAUUGCUACUAUGCCAGUGUUAUGCAGACCUCCUUUAUUGUCUGCCCACAUGGUGCUUGGGUUCUAUUUUAUGGCUUAAUAAUUUAUGUUGAAGAUGGCUAUUUUUAAUAAAGUUAUUGAUAUACUUGUUGGGAUGUUUGUUUUGAUCCAAGCUUUAUUGUGUUUGUUUUCUGUUUUUUUGUUUUGUUUUACUUUCUUUUGCCCUUGAGCUGCUUCCAUUCUUUUCCUCUUUUUCUUCUUUCUUGUUUAUAGUCCAUCUUCUUUUCAUUCUUGGGGUCGGACUUUUGCCAUGAUCCUCCUCCAUCUUGCUCAGUCCAGUGCUAAUCCUUCCUCUAUUUCUAACACAUCCAAGUCUUGUGUCCCUGUUCCUCUCCAUGGUCUCCCUGGUCAUCCUUUCAGGUAUCUACAUUUCCUCCACCAUCUCCAGCACUCCACUCCCUGUCUCUCUCCUCACAUGUCCAAACCAUUGCAACCUUCUCUGUCUUACUCUCUCCAGUGCUAAUCCUUCCUCUAUUUCUAACACAUCCAAGUCUUGUGUCCCUGUCCCUCUCCAGGUAUACCUCCAUUUCCUCCACCAUCUCCAGCACUCCACUCCCUGUCUCUCUCCUCACAUGUCUGAACCAUUGCAACCUUCUCUGUCUCACUCCAUUGCUG